UUAUCAAAAAAAUUUUCAAUUUUGUACUUUGGUUAGCGUUAAAUGGGUAAUUAAGAAAAGAGGUGUGGCCAAACAUACCCCAAAGCCUAUAAAACCUAAACGAAAACUCAAAACUUUAUGAAACGUGGUGAGAACAUGUAACAGGUAACUCUUAACAAGCAUGCAAAGUUUCAUGGAGAUCGCACCAUAGGUGGCGCUAUAACAGUAGAAAAGGUCUCAAAACACAAGAUUUAUAUGGUAAAUGGCCUCAAAUUGUUUGAAAAUGCUCAUAUAUUCACUCAAAAACACUAGAUCUUCAUAUCAUAUGAUAGAUCUCCUCAUUCUGAACAACUUUGCCUCUGGGACCAAUGUUGUCAAUAAAGCUGUUAAUUAAAUAUUCAAGAUUAUUUCAAAAAGUUACUUUGGCAAACUAGUGAUAGGGUAUAAGCUGAAAAUCAAUAAAACCACUGAAGUACAAUUCUCUAGACUCUGAAGGUCAAUAAUUAUCAAAAACAUGUUGAACAAUUGCAUUUGGACAACUAUAAACCAGUAAUUUUAUAAUAUGUUAUUUGCAUAGUGUACACAAAGGCCUAUUAAUACAAACAGAAAGCCCACAAAUUAUCAAAACUGUGUAAAAUAAUGCAUAAUUUCAUUCUAAACGAGCAUGCCAUAUUUAAGAGAUAUUGGGCAAAAAACACUAAGAGUUAAAAGGAUUAACACAUUGAUGUAUGAGAAAUUGCCAUUUAUAACCACUAGAUGGCAGCGGAAAACCACUAAUGGGCUCAUUCAGCUAACUUAAACUGUACAGUUGAAAGGAUGUAAUGCCUAAACAAUACAAAAAACACUCUUUUCAAACAUUUCAAAUCUCAUUGAGUUAAAGUUUUCCAUUUUGUUCAUUCAGACAUAUCAGUUUUUAAAAUUUUGCCACAUUAUGAUUACAGUGAAACCUGAAAAUGACAUCUAAAAUCUUAAAAACGAGUUUAAUCAUUUAAUUUCAGUGUGUGUGUCUGUCUGUUAGCCUAUUCUCCAUUUUGGAUGUGUUUAACAGCCAUCCAUAUACGUCCAGGUUGGCUCUGACCACCUAAGAUGCCUUAAGUGCUUGAACCCCGUAAAUGCUGCUUGCAGCUUUAAUUAGGGGUUCAAGCACGCAGUGCUGAAACCCUAUUGUAUUUGUUAGGAUUUUUAUUAUUAUUAUUAUUAUUAUUAGGGGUUCAAGCACGCAGUGCUGAAACCCUAUUGUAAUUGUUAGGAUUUUUAUUAUUAUUAUUAUUAUUAUUAUUAUUAUUAUUCUUCCGCCCUAGAACUGAACGUGCAGCCCAAACCGUAAGGCCUAGAGAGCUGAAAUUUGGACAGAUCGUAGAGCUCAUUUUGGGGAGAACUUAUCAAAGUCUCAGCCCAAUCGGCCAAACGGGGGCGCUAUAGCGCAAAAAACAAAAAUUUUGGACGUUUUUGGCCGUGAAUCGUAAACCGUUAGCCAUAAACUCAAAAACAUGGCAUCAUAGCAAUCCUUGGGUUAGCCCGAACAAAAGUGCACGGCGCCUUUUUGGGGUCUACGACGCACCGUUUUCUCGCAAAAUCGAGCUAUAUCCGAAACCUACUUUUGCGAACUAGUCCUAGGAUUUUCAACCAAUCAGAACCAAACCACUUCAUAAAUAUUCCCUGGACACUCAAUAUCAAUAAUUAUCAAAAAAAAAGUUGAAAUUUCAAUUCUUACGCGAAACAGUACACCAAAAAGCGUCUAUGCUAACGUUAGCCAAAUACUAUUUUGACUAUAACUCUUGAACGGAAUGAGAUAUCUUCACCAAAAUUGGUACACAUAUGUAUGAGCUCAAUCUUUGGUCAAAUAAAAAAAAUUGCAUAUCUCUGCCACUUGGGGGCGCUAUAAGAUUUAAAAAACACAUAAAUGGCUAUAACCAGGCAACCGUUGGCUCGAUCGACUUGAAAAUUGGUAUGCAGUGUCUUGGUCUGAAGGGGCACAAGUACCUAUGAGGACAUUUGCAUAUCUCAAAAAACAUGGCCGCCAUUGGCCAAACAAAUUUAAGCACCUAUUUGAAAGGGUUAACGGAUGUUCAUCGGAACGAAACUCGCUGGGUACGUUCGACUCAUGAACCUUAAGGUCUGUAAGAAUUUUGAAAGAAAUCGGCCACUAGUUGGCGCUAACGAGUUUUAUGGCUCUGUAAUCACGUGGUGUUUCACAUAUCAACACAAUAUGCAUAUCAUUUGAUAGAUCUCCUCAUAAUGCACAACUUAGCCUCAAGAACCAUUGCUGUCAAUCAAAUCGUUCAAUUGUUAUUCACAAAUAUGUUAAAAACCUACUUUUGCGAACUAGUCCUAGGUUUUUUGUCCGAUCGGAACCAAACCACUGCAGUAAUAAUCUGUGGACUCUCUAGAUCAAUAAUUAUCAAAAAAAUGUUACAUUUUGUACUUUGGUUAGCGUUAAAGGGGUAAUUAAGAAAAGGGGUGUGGCCAAACAUACCCCAAAGCCUAUAAAACCUAAACAAAAACUCUAAACUUUAUGAAACUAGGGAAAAACAUGUAACAGGUGACUCUUAACAAGCAUGCAAAGUUUCAUGGAGAUCGGACCAUAGGUGGCGCUAUAACAGUAGAAAAGGUCUCAAAACACAAGAUUUAUAUGGUAAAAGGCCUCAAAGUGUUUGAAAAUGUUCAUAUAUUCACUCAAAAACACUAGAUCUUCAUAUCAUAUGAUAAAUCUCCUCAUUCUGAACAACUUUGCCUCUGGGACCAAUGUUGUCAAUAAAGCUGUUAAUUAAAUAUUCAAGAUUAUUUAAAAAAGUUACUUUGGCAUACUUGUGAUACGGUUUAAGAUGAAAAUCAAUAAAACCACUGAAGUACAAUUCUCUAGACUCAGAAGGUCAAUAAUUAUCAAAAACAUGUUGAACAAUUGCAUUUGGGCAACUAUAAACCAAUAAUUUUAUAAUAUGUUAUUUGCAUAGUGUACACAAAGGCCUAUUAAUACAAACAGAAAGCCCACAAAUUAUCAAAACUGUGUAAAAUAAUGCAUAAUUUCAUUCUAAACAAGCAUGCAAAAUUUAAGAGAGAUUGGGGAAAAAAAAAUAACAACACUAUAACAGUUAUGUUCAAAACCAGGGUUGUUUGAGUAAAUGCAAUUUAUAACCACUAGAUGGCAGCGGAAGACCACUAAUGGGCUCAUUCAGCUAAGUUGAACAGCACUGUUUUCAUGAAUUCUUGCCAAAACAUUAAUAAAUUAACUGUUAUAACAUUUUAAAUCUUACUGAAUCAAUGUUUUCCAUUUUGUUCAUACAGAUGUAUCAGUUUUUACAAUUUUGCCACAUUAUGAUUACAGUUUAACCUGAAAAUGACAUCUAAACUCUAAAAAAGAGAAGACUUGCAAUAAGUUUGUCACCUAUCACUUAUUUCAAAUACCUAUAUCUGCAACAAAAUGUGUGUCCAUGUAUAUGUGUGUCUUUGUGUGUGUGUGUGUGUGCAUAUGCUUAUAGAGUAUACAUAUAUUAGUCUAAUCAUUUGCUGUCAGUGUGUGUGUCUGUCUGUUAGCCUGUUCUCCAUUUUGGAUGUGUUUAAAUGUCAUCCAAACAUCCAGGUUGGCUCUGACCACCUCAGAGGCCUUAAUGUGCUUGAACCCCGGUAAAUGCUGCUUGCAGCUUUAA